ACGCUCGACACCUACGGGAGGCAGCAGUGGGGAAUUUUGCGCAAUGGGGGCAACCCUGACGCAGCAACGCCGCGUGCGGGACGAAGGCCUUCGGGUCGUAAACCGCUUUCAGCAGGGAAGACAGCGACGGUACCUGCAGAAGAAGCCCCGGCUAACUACGUGCCAGUAGCCGCGGUAAUCUGAGCGGGCUGGCAAGGC
rnacentral:rRNA from 1 species